UUGAAAUGAUUUCAUCCAAAGGACCAGAAGUCUCUGAAGAAGAUAAUUCAAAUGGCAAUUUAUGACUCUUUCCUAAAGGAAACGAAUGACACAACGAAGAACUAACUUUGCCACUGAGUGGCAAUUUAUUUUGUGACAUCAAAUGCUAAAAAAUAAACAACGAGGAAUGACCAAGUCGGGAGUGCCAAAGAGCACCACUGACACGAACAUCAAGAAAGACAAUUGGAGCACUAGAGUUGUGGGUUGAUGAACUAAUCGAGAAUGGAUAGAGGCCAUUCUUACUUGGUCCCUGGAAAAGGAUCCUCCCGGUGUCCAAAUCUUGCACACGAAAUCAUCAACACAAAACUGAUUAAUAGACAAAAUAUUAGAAGAGGCAUGAGGAAAAAAAAGAGUGUUAGGUAAAGUAUAUGUAGAAUCAGGUGUUCCUCCAAGAACGUCGUUAAUAUGUUCUCCUCCAUGAUAAUCACAAUGAUUGGUAAGCUGGCCCAAAUCAGGGGUAACAUGGGCAUUGGUACCCGAAUCUGCUAGCCAAGGUUGCAUUGUAGAUGAGUUAGCCUGUUUGCGAUGCCCAAUAGUGGUGUAGGCGGUCAAUUAAGCUGGACGCCCACGAUUGUCAAAAAAGGGUAUGGGAACCUGAGUGGGACAGUCAAUAGCUUUAUGCCCAAAUCCACGACACUGAAAACACUGCAACUUCAGACAUGUAUCAAUCGCAAGAAAGGCUCCAAGAACACCGGCGCCACCAAACUGAGAAGGGGAAGAAGAACCGCGGCUGAAACCACCAUCGUUGCCGGUGCGAUUGAAACCACCGCCACUAUGGUUAGACCCACCUAAUCGCAGUUGCCCAGAAUUACAGUUGCCGCCACCACCUGAAGAUUCCCAAGAAAAGGUUCGACUGCCACCACCACCAUUCAACCACGGCUAUCACGAGAGGCAACCAAAACCGUAGCACCAGUAUCAAGAGGAAGCUUUGACGCUUGCAGUCAUCAUUCAGCACGCAAAAGCAAGGCUUCAAGACCAAGAUAAUCAAUCCAAUGUUCAUGAGAAAGUGCGCCAGUAACUGGGGUCUCAUACAUAGGACCAGCUGUUGCAAGGAUGUGAUUAAUCAAUUCCUUAUCUGAAAUGGGAUCGCCGGCAAGUGCAAGGUUCUGAGUAAUGGAGUUCAACGUGUCGAGCCAAUCAGUGAUAGACAAGUCACCACGCGGCACGCACUGUCUUCAUCAAUUCUUGGCGCAACUCGAAGAGGCGAGACUCAAAGGGGGAGGCAAAACGACACUCAAGCUCGACCCAUGUCUGACGAGCCAAGGUGUUGAGCGCAACAGGAGAAAGAGCAGAGGGAGAGGAGAGAGAACCUGUUGAUCUUGUUGUAUCCAAAGCUCAUACAAUGGGUUGGAAAUCAAAUCAUUCUUGUCGGCGCUGGAGUCCGUGUUCGGCUCAUGAGGAAGGAAUUCCAAAGGGGGGAGGGAAGUUCCAUCAACAAACUUAAAUAGGUUGCAGCUGCGCAAGAGAGGAACCAUUUGCGCCAACCACACAGGGUAGUGGCUUCGUUCCAAUUUGAUAGAGAGAGCGGAAGGGAAAGUCGGGUCAGAGAGGGCAGGGGAGGAAGAAGAAGAAGCAGCCAUAGGAUCGGAAGAAUAAAUAAAUAAAUAAAAAUGUCCUUUAGACAUAGGCUUUCUAUACCAUGAAAGGAAUCUUAAGCAAGGGGUCAAAGGCUGCUGCACAAUCACAGCCAGCAUGCUUAUAUUGCAAUAUAUAUAGUUUACAAGGAGCAAUGGAUUUACCCUAGCUGCUAGAUACAUAAGUGGCCUCCUUUAGCUUAUCAAAGGGAACUAAGGCGUCGCAAGAUGGAGCAGCGAAGGAAGGAGAAGAAGUCAUAAACAGAUGGAGCAGCUACUGAUCGGUUUUGGCCAAGAGCUCAAGUUCUUAUGUCUUUUAGUGAUAAGCAGCAUCUGUUUGGAAAGGUGAAUUAAGUCUUCAAGUUUGAUGUUUGUUUGUGGAUAAUUUUUAAGUCUUAAGCUUACACUAAUUGCGAAGAACUAAAAAUUAUUGAAGAUACUAUAAUGGGCACACUUGUACAUCA